UGGGGAAUAUUGCACAAUGGGCGCAAGCCUGAUGCAGCCAUGCCGCGUGUAUGAAGAAGGCCUUCGGGUUGUAAAGUACUUUCAGCGGGGAGGAAGGCGAUAAGGUUAAUAACCUUGUCGAUUGACGUUACCCGCAGAAGAAGCACCGGCUAACUCCGUGCCAGCAGCCGCGGUAAUACGGAGGGUGCAAGCGUUAAUCGGAAUUACUGGGCGUAAAGCGCACGCAGGCGGUCUGUCAAGUCGGAUGUGAAAUCCCCGGGCUCAACCUGGGAACUGCAUUCGAAACUGGCAGGCUAGAGUCUUGUAGAGGGGGGUAGAAUUCCAGGUGUAGCGGUGAAAUGCGUAGAGAUCUGGAUGAAUACCGGUGGCGAAGGCGGCCCCCUGGACAAAGACUGACGCUCAGGUGCGAAAGCGUGGGGAGCAAACA
rnacentral:rRNA from 1 species